rnacentral:ncRNA from 1 species
UUGUAAUGAACCUAUUAUAAUCCAACAAGAUUUCAAUCAUCUUGUUGGAUUUUUUUAUUUGAAAUUAAUCAUUUAUCUAUCACUUUAUUAUUUUAGAAACAAAAAAAGGAAUGAUGAAAAGUUAUAUAAAACUUAACGUCAUUCCGUUUAAUUAGCAUAAAGCUAUAAAACAACAUACAGCCAUUGACAUACCUCGAAAAGAUAUGCCAACUUGGCUAUACAUUGAUACAUUUUCAGUUAAAGUACUAACAAUUAUACUUGCCUUCAAAUUCUCAAUUACCUUUGUCAUUUUAAAAUGACCAUAAACUUACAUUACAUUUAUCAACGUAUUCCGCUACAAAACACAUUAAUAAUAUGUAAAGAGGAUAUUUCUUCAAGUUAAAACCUUCUCAAAAUAUAACCGCUACAAUUAUACAUAAGAUUAAUGUUUCAACAUAUUAUAUAUAUUCCACAAUCAC